CCUGACUCUCCUCAACCCAAUCAUCCAACAUUCCAUCAUUAGUUUUUUUUCCCCCUCACUUUCUUUUUUUCUGUCUUCCACCUAAACAUUCUCCACUCCUUCAGCUGAGUCUGUCUAAGCUCUACAUAUGCUUGUUCUGGGAUUGUUGAUCAUGAAAACCUUUGCACUCAAACCUUUGGAAGUACUUGGCUGUCUUAAGAUUUUUGUUUUCUGCAUCUGCUGGUCAUGAGAGAAGACCAAUAUCAGAAAGUAUAAGCAAAUGGGGUCAUUUAGAGUACACCCGAAAUAACUAAAUUCAACAGAGGAUGUGAUGCAAUAAGAUGCUAGUGCAAAGGACAGAAAACUGGGACAGGGAAAUGAAGCUGUGAAAUAUGCAGGAGGUAAAGAAAAAGCCAGAUGUGGUAACUGCCCAGGGGUUUGUUGUGGUCUCGUAGUCUGCUUGUGUCAUUGUCACAUUCUGUCUUCAUUGGGUGUUGUCUGAGUUUGUGGCGGCCAUUGUGUCAGUCAAGCUGAAAAAGUCGUAUCCCAGACAAAGCCAAAUACUGAACUAAAUGCAGACUGAAAAUCCAAUCAAAAUGCUUCAUAUUUGUGCACUUAACUUCUGUCUGGACAGCUAUGACAAAGCACAUAAACGUGCUCAAAUUUGCACAUUAUAUGCAGUUUAGUGGUUCUCCCAGACCCACACAGUGGUCACAUAUAAAUGUGCUAUCAUUCUCCAGUGCCAGCAGAAAGUGUAAAAGUGGUUUGAGUGCAACACGUAUAACAGUUGCAUUGUUUUUCCAACACGCCACAUUUCAAUUAACCCGGUGCUUCGUUUACAAAUUUAGACAUGGCUUGAGGCCAUUUCUGGUUUUUUGGAGAAUUCAAAAUGAGUUGUCUUUUUUUCUUCUGAACAGAUCCAUGUAUUCUCCCUUUUUCUGUGAAAGUCAUGCAAUCAUCUCAGUGAAGGUGUCUCCAUGGUGACAAUACAAUGUGUGGAUUUGCCUCAAACUAAAACAAUUACAACAUACACCUCUGUGAGAGGUAAUGUUAGUUGAUAUUUUCAGUGCUGUAGGAUAGGAAUUCAUGUUUCAGGCCUAGUUAGAGUAGCAGCACUCUGUAAAGUGAGAAUAAUUGGAUUUUAAAAGUCAUUUACUCUUAAAUACUCAUCAAUUUCAAUUCAGCGGUUUAAUUUCAGAAGCACUUUCCAUAUGAAUUUCUGUAGCAUCUUGGGAACAAAGCAACUCUGGAAUCUCUAAUUUAGUACUAGAGAUUGAUAUCUGAUCUGGUGCUAAAACACUCACAAACACUUGUAAACACUUGUAUCCUGUACUACAGAGUAUUACUUGUUAGCUUUUUUUGUUUGUUUGUUUGUUUGUUUGUUUUUUUAUAACAGUGUGAUGUAGGCUGGUACACAGUGUCCGCUGUUUACUUUUGUCUAGCAGACCCAGAUGUUUAAAUGUCACUGGUGGAUGGAUGCAGGUAAAUCAAUAGAAGUUCCAGCUUAUUGAGAGAUACUAUAAAUGACCCCUUACAUCUUGAGGUAUGUAAUUAGCUAUAAAGCACUUUCAGUUCAGUGGAUUUUAGUUUCAUCCCAUGCUCUUUCCUCUCUAGUGCCAAAAUAUAAAGUGUUUAUGCUUGUAGCAUAUCACAUAAACCACAAAGAACAUCAGCUGCAUAGAUGUAGAAUGUAACGAGGAAUGUCCUAUUUCUGUGGCAUACCAAAGGUUCCCUGGUCUUAACCUUGCAUAACGAUCAAGGGAAAUUUGGUAUUAAAUAAAAGAGAAGGGAAAUUGUAGUUUUAUUUUACUUAUCAGACCACUUGAAGGAGAAUGUGUUUAUGUGGUCAGGUUUAUAGAAUACUUUUCUCAAUGUUACAUACCAUUUGAGAUGUUGAUUGUGCGAGGCUUGCUUUGUGUGCUGUCUGGAGUACGCUUGUACAGAAAAAGCACACAAUUUUGAACAGCUGUAUGAAUGUGUUGAUUAAUUGGAGUAUUUACAUUUUAUUUAUCUCGUUAAGGAAGGC
ensembl:lncRNA